ensembl:lncRNA
AUUCUUUGAUGAAUAAAAAGUUAAAAAGAAGAGCAUUUAUUUAAAAUAGAAAUCUUUUCUAACAAUAUACACUACCGUUCAAAAGUUUGGGGUCAGUACAUUUUUAUUCUUUCUUUUUUUGAAAGCAAUUAAAUCUUUUAUUCAGCAAGGAUGUGUUAAAUUGAUAAGAAGUGAUAGCAAAGAUUCAAAUUGUUAAAAAAUAUUUAUAUUUUGAAUAGAUGUUGUUCUUUUUAACUUUUUAAUCAUCAAAGAAUCCUGAAAGAUGUAUUGCAGUUUCCAAAAAAAUAAUUUAAAAAAAUAAAUAAAAAAUAUUGGCAGCACAACUGUUGCCAACAUUGAUAAUCCUAAUAAUAAAUCAGCAUAUUAGAAUGAUUUCUGAAGGAUCAUGUGACACUUUAUACAGGAGUAAUGGCUGAUGGAAAUUUAGCUUUGCAUCACAGAAAUAAAUUCUAUUUUAAAGGAUAUUAAAAUAGAAACAAUUAUUUUAUAUUGUAAUAACAUUUUGCAAGAUUACUGUUUUUUUUAUCAAAUAAAUGCAGCCUUCAUGAACAUAAGAGACUUCUUUAAAAAACAUUACAAGUUUUAUUAAUCCCAAACUUUUGAACGGCAGGGUAUUUGUAAAAGCUGCAUUAUUUGGAAAUGACUUCAUUACAGUUACAACCUAACUGUAACUGAAAUUGCAACUUAACAUAACUUUUUAUUAGAACAAAAUACUAGGUAUUUUCCAAGGAAAAACAAGUGGAUUGGCUGGCUGCUAAAAGAGAAAGUGCAAAGAAAGAAAGAAAAAGUAAGCAGCGUGUAUAUAUUCAGAAAGCAGAUGCAAAGCAGUGAGCAUUAAAAGCCAAGAGUGGGACUGCUGACAAGACAUGGACACUGUAUUCAGCAAUUUCACUGCUCUGGUGGAGAAGGUCUACUCAUUCUUCUGGGGGACAAGCAGCAGUUCAACAGCCAAUCAGAAUCAGACAGAGCCAUCAGAGAGCUGUAAUGAAAGUGACAUCCCAGUCACAAAACCUGCUGAAACAUGGGUGUCUGAGGUCCAGGAGGUUAGCAGUCCUGUACAAACCACUGUAAAUGCACAUUCAGGUCAUUAUGAUCAUCCACACAUCCCGAUACAGAACUCAAACUCAUUCAGUGAUGCUGAUAAAACUGCUGAAGUGGACAAGAUCAACAUCAUUGUGAAAUGUGCUGGGAAAACCACGGAAGUGGACAUGUUUCCCAGGGAAAGCAUCUCAGUUUUACUAAAGGAGGCCUGUGACCGGGCAGGGAAGAAACCAGAGAAAAUGGCAUUGGUUUAUGAAGGAAACUGUCUGGAUGUGAACAAGAAGGUGAGCUGUUAUGGACUACGAGGAGGAACCACCGUACAUUUGAUUCAUGCCUAGAACUCAUGUUUCUGUUUACAGGAUACCAGUACACUACUGUACAUAAAAUAUUGUUCAAACUCAACUGUAUUAUUAAUAGUUGUUGUAGUGGUUGUAGUUGUAGUAGUAUACAGGCAAGCAGAUAAAGCCAGAAAGCAAUGUGCAAAGUUUCACGGUAAAUGGUUUCCCAUAGAAAACCAUUAUAAGGAAAACACCGAACCAUUAAGCGGACUGCGUUCAUAUUCCAGCAUCAUCUGCUUGCCUAUGUAAACUAUGCAUCAGUAAUAUAGAGAUUACUGAAUUUGAUAUUUUACUAUUACUGUUUUAAAUAUAUUAAGGCACUUUAAGUGUUUUUACAAUGUUUGUCGCACUGUUUAAUGAUUGAAAUAUUGCUGCGGGUGCUUAAUAUGGAUUGCAAAUGGCCAAAACUUGCAUUUUGUUUUAUUAUGUUUUAAUGAGAGAUGAUGUAAAUAUUUGCGGCUGUAAAACAGAUGAAAAACUGAGAGGCUUGUGCUGCAGUUCUAUGGAUGCUUCGAGCCGGUCACGUGACUGAAAGCGAUCAAUAGCGUUCGAGUGCUGUUUGUAACGGAGCAUUUCAUUGGUUAAACAGACGGAACAGACACGCCUCUUUCACUGAACUAGCCGACUAACUAGAGGGCAUGUUGUUCUUUUAGGUCACCGUGUUAACAGCAUUUAUUUAAAAUAGAAAUCUUUUCUAACAAUAUAUACUACCGUUCAAAAGUUUGGGGACAGUACAUUUUUAUUCUAUCUUUCUUUAUUCAGCAAGGAUGUGUUAAAUUGAUAAGAAGUGAUAGUAAAGAUUUAAAUUGUUAUAAAAUAUUUAUAUUUUGAAUAAAUGUUGUUCUUUUUAACUUUUUAAUCA